rnacentral:rRNA from 1 species
UACGUAGGUGGCAAGCGUUGUCCGGAAUUACUGGGCGUAAAGCGCACGUAGGCGGCUUUCUAAGUCGGGGGUGAAAUCCUGGAGCUCAACUCCAGAACUGCCUUCGAUACUGGAGAGCUUGAGUCCGGGAGAGGUGAGUGGAACUGCGAGUGUAGAGGUGAAAUUCGUAGAUAUUCGCAAGAACACCAGUGGCGAAGGCGGCUCACUGGCCCGGUACUGACGCUGAGGUGCGAAAGCGUGGGGAGCAAACAGG